CUUUUACAAUGGGGCCGUGAAAGGUCCAUAAAAAGAAACAAUUGUCAGUUUGUUUGAAUCAAUCACGCAGCGGGAAGCAUGUCAAAAAUAACUCUUGGGCUCUUGAAAAGCCCUCGAGUGACCUGCACAGCUGUGUGUUUCUCACCAACACAAAGCAAGACAAAAAUCAAUGACCCCUGCAAAUGAAAAGAUAGAUUUGUAUUCAUCUAUCAUGUCUGCAAGAUGAUUUAUUAGGGAUUUGAGGUUAUCGCCAAAGCAAGCAAGUUUAGAAGCUGUUUGCCAAACUCGUCACUGAACUAUUUUUAUUCUUUUCUCACAGAAAAACAUGUUUCUCGACACUCACAAGUAGACGUUUGCACCAUAUAAUGUUACAAGUUGAAUCAGGGAAGGGAGGGGCAGAAUAUGCAUUGCCAAAAAAGAUAUAACAUCGCUACGUUGACAAUGUGACAUUGAGGGAAGGUGGAGCCCGGGAGAGGGGGGUGGUGGAAGGGUCUGCGCAGCCUGACUGGCACACUAUCGCCCCCUUUUCGAAAAUAAAACCACCGCGAAACUAAACUUUUAAGAGCUCGAAAAAAGCAUUGAGCGCUAAACGCUGCUCGCGAAGAUAUCUAGCAUGUUCAGACAGGAGCAAAAAAUGGCAAAAUUAAAAUUGUAAGGUUGUGUUAGCUUACAUUUUGUUUAUAUUUUUCCUAGUGGCUCCUUGCAUAAUAUAAAACAAAAUAAGCUUUAGUAUUUUUUGGUAUAUGGAAUUUGUGGGAAAGGAUUCUAUUUAGUUGGAACGCAAUGAAGCGAGAUCGAGUUUUUUGGGAAGGGAACAAAGUAAGUAUAGGUCAAACAUGAAUUCAAAAUUAGUUACCUUGCUCUAGUUAACUCAUCCAUUGUUAUCAUGAGAUUACCCCCAACCAUGAUUCCGUCGUCACGACAGAUCUCUCCUUCUGCGUCAACAGGCCCAGAUAUCUAUAUAAAUAAACACUUUAUCACGUGAAAACAUCCCAUCUCAUCCAAACUGAUUCAUAUGGAUUUUGUUGAUUUCGCUCCGUGCGUUCCGUCCGUUGAAUUAAAUUAUUUCAAAUUUUAGGUAGAUCAAAACAAAAACAUGUGAAGUAGUUCGUCCAGUUAAUAAACCCAAAUUGUGUGUACAGAGAAGUUCAAAAGAUGGUAUAAAAAUCCAUUUUACC